UACGAAGGGGGCUAGCGUUGCUCGGAAUCACUGGGCGUAAAGCGCACGUAGGCGGAUCUUUAGGUCAGGGGUGAAAUCCUGGAGCUCAACUCCAGAACUGCCUUUGAUACUGGGGAUCUCGAGUCCGGAAGAGGUGAGUGGAACUCCGAGUGUAGAGGUGAAAUUCGUAGAUAUUCGGAAGAACACCAGUGGCGAAGGCGGCUCACUGGUCCGGUACUGACGCUGAGGUGCGAAAGCGUGGGGAGCAAACAGG
rnacentral:rRNA from 1 species